CCUACGGGUGGCAGCAGUGGGGAAUCUUCCACAAUGGGCGAAACUCUGAUGCAGCGACGCCGCGUGAGUGAAGAAGUAUUUCGUUACGUAAAGCUCUGUCAGUAGGGAAGAAAAUGAACGUUACUGAGUAACCAUCCCCGGCUAACUACGUGCCAGCAGCCGCCGUAAUACGUAGGGGGCACGCGUUCUCCGGAUUUACUGGGUGUAAAGGGAGCGUAGACGGUGCGCCAAGUCUGAAGUGAAAUGCCGCAGCUUAACCGGGGAAGUGCAUUGGAAACUGGGGGACUAGAGUGCAGAAGAGGUGAGUGGAAUUCCAGGUGUAGCGGUGAAAUGCGUAGAUAUAAGGAGGAACACCAGUGGCGAAGGCGGCUUACUGGACUGUAACUGACGUUGAGGCUCGAAAGCGUGGGGAGCAAACAGGAUUAGAUACCCUAGUAGUC
rnacentral:rRNA from 1 species